rfam:Gorilla gorilla gorilla genomic chromosome, chr12, whole genome shotgun sequence
CAGUACAGUCAUACCACCCUCAACGCGCCCAGUCUCGUCUGGUCUCGGAAGCUAAGCAGGGUCGGGCCUGGUUAGUACUUAGAUGGGAAGAAAGACAAAAGUUUUUAAAGGAAAAAAAUGAGGUGCAUCAC